rnacentral:rRNA from 1 species
CGAACGAGAGCGACCGGUGUUUGCACUGGUCAAUCUAGUGGCGAACGGGUGAGUAACACGUGGGUAACCUGCCCAUCAGAGGGGGAUAACAUCCGGAAACGGAUGCUAAAACCGCAUAGGUCUUCGAACCGCAUGGUUUGAAGAGGAAAAGAGGCGCAAGCUUCUGCUGAUGGAUGGACCCGCGGUGCAUUAGCUAGUUGGUGAGGUAACGGCUCACCAAGGCCGUGAUGCAUAGCCGACCUGAGAGGGUGAUCGGCCACAUUGGGACUGAGACACGGCCCAAACUCCUACGGGAGGCAGCAGUAGGGAAUCUUCCGCAAUGGACGCAAGUCUGACGGAGCAACGCCGCGUGAGUGAAGAAGGUUUUCGGAUCGUAAAACUCUGUUGUUAGAGAAGAACAAGUGCUAGAGUAACUGUUAGCGCCUUGACGGUAUCUAACCAGAAAGCCACGGCUAACUACGUGCCAGCAGCCGCGGUAAUACGUAGGUGGCAAGCGUUGUCCGGAUUUAUUGGGCGUAAAGCGAGCGCAGGCGGUUCCUUAAGUCUGAUGUGAAAGCCCCCGGCUCAACCGGGGAGGGUCAUUGGAAACUGGGGAACUUGAGUGCAGAAGAGGAGAGUGGAAUUCCAUGUGUAGCGGUGAAAUGCGUAGAUAUAUGGAGGAACACCAGUGGCGAAGGCGACUCUCUGGUCUGUAACUGACGCUGAGGCUCGAAAGCGUGGGUAGCAAACAGGAUUAGAUACCCUGGUAGUCCACGCCGUAAACGAUGAGUGCUAAGUGUUGGAGGGUUUCCGCCCUUCAGUGCUGCAGUAAACGCAUUAAGCACUCCGCCUGGGGAGUACGACCGC